rnacentral:rRNA from 1 species
AACGAACGCUGGCGGCAUGCCUAACACAUGCAAGUCGAACGAGAUCUUCGGAUCUAGUGGCGCACGGGUGCGUAACGCGUGGGAAUCUGCCCUUUGCUUCGGAAUAACAGUUAGAAAUGACUGCUAAUACCGGAUGAUGUCUUCGGACCAAAGAUUUAUCGGCAAAGGAUGAGCCCGCGUAGGAUUAGGUAGUUGGUGGGUAAAGGCCUACCAAGCCGACGAUCCUUAGCUGGUCUGAGAGGAUGAUCAGCCACACUGGGACUGAGACACGGCCCAGACUCCUACGGGAGGCAGCAGUGGGGAAUAUUGGACAAUGGGCGAAAGCCUGAUCCAGCAAUGCCGCGUGAGUGAUGAAGG